GAGACUCAAACAGCUCAGUAAUGCUUCUGCUGUUGGUUACUGCAUCUAAGACAGGGAUCUUAAAUGCUUCACCUGUACAGACGAGCUUAUCUCAAUGUAGGAGCCAGAAGAAAGAUAAAGAAAAGUGAGAGAAAGACUAGUAGGUAACAGGAGGAAUGAGAAGAAUGAGUGGAGAAGUGGGGAGACAAAAAAUAAAUCAAGAUAAAUAGCAUAAAUGAAUGUGGACAAAGAUUGAAGGAAAGAGAAAUAUAAGAAGACAAGAGGAGGAGAAAUUGAGGUUAAAAUAAAGGUGAGGGCACAGAAUCUGAGAGCUUCAGAAUACUUCAGAUUACAACGUUCUAACAUUUACUCUUUGCUGGGGAAAGUAAGCAGA
rnacentral:lncRNA from 1 species